rnacentral:rRNA from 1 species
CUACGGGCGGCUGCAGCUAAGAAUCUUCCGCAAUGGGCGCAAGCCUGACGGAGCGACGCCGCGUGGGUGAAGAAGGCCGAGAGGUUGUAAAGCCCUUUUCUGUCUGAGGAAUAAGCCUGGGAGGGAAUGCCCGGGUGAUGACGGUAAGACAGGAAUAAGCCCCGGCUAAUUACGUGCCAGCAGCCGCGGUAACACGUAUGGGGCGAGCGUUGUUCGGAAUCAUUGGGCGUAAAGGGCGCGUAGGCGGAGAUGCAAGUCUGGUGUGAAAGACCGCAGCUUAACUGCGGGACCGCGCUGGAAACUGCAUAUCUUGAGUUCCGGAGGGGGAGUUGGAAUUCCUGGUGUAGGGGUGAAAUCUGUUGAUAUCAGGAAGAACACCGGUGGCGAAGGCGAACUCCUGGACGGAAACUGACGCUGAGGCGCGAAAGCGUGGGGAGCGAACAGGAUUAGAUACCCCAGUAGUC